rnacentral:misc_RNA from 1 species
GAUGAAGAACGUAGCGAAAUGCGAUAAGUAAUGUGAAUUGCAGAAUUCAGUGAAUCAUCGAAUCUUUGAACGCACAUUGCGCCCCUUGGUAUUCCAUGGGGCAUGCCUGUUCGAGCGUCAUUUGUACCCUCAAGCUUUGCUUGGUGUUGGGCGUCUUGUCGUAUUACGACUCGCCUUAAAUACAUUGGCAGCCGGCACUUUGGCCUAGGAGCGCAGCACAUUUUGCGAUCGUAGCCCGUUGUACUGGCGUCCAUCAAGAACAUUUACCACGUUUGACCUCGGAUCAGGUAGGGAUACCCGCUGAACUUAAGCAUAUCAAUAAGCGGAGGA